rnacentral:rRNA from 1 species
AUUGAACGCUGGCGGCAUGCCUUACACAUGCAAGUCGAACGGUAACGGGCCUUCGGGUGCCGACGAGUGGCGAACGGGUGAGUAAUGUAUCGGAACGUACCUUUCAGUGGGGGAUAACGUAGCGAAAGUUACGCUAAUACCGCAUAUUCUGUGAGCAGGAAAGCAGGGGAUCGCAAGACCUUGCGCUGAUUGAGCGGCCGAUAUCAGAUUAGCUAGUUGGUGAGGUAAAGGCUCACCAAGGCGACGAUCUGUAGCGGGUCUGAGAGGAUGAUCCGCCACACUGGAACUGAGACACGGUCCAGACUCCUACGGGAGGCAGCAGUGGGGAAUUUUGGACAAUGGGGGGCAACCCUGAUCCAGCCAUGCCGCGUGAGUGAAGAAGGCCUUCGGG